CAGCAGUCGCCGCGGGAAUACGGAGGGUGCAAGCGUUAAUCGGAAUUACUGGGCGUAAAGCGCACGCAGGCGGUCUGACAAGUCAGAUGUGAAAUCCCCGGGCUUAACCUGGGAACUGCAUUUGAAACUGUCAGGCUGGAGUCUUGUAGAGGGGGGUGGAAUUCCAGGUGUAGCGGUGAAAUGCGUAGAUAUAGGAAGGAACACCAGUGGCGAAGGCGACCACCUGGACUGAUACUGACACUGAGGUGCGAAAGCGUGGGGAGCAAACAGGAUUAGAUACCCCUGUAGUCCCUGUCUCUUAUAC
rnacentral:rRNA from 1 species